UACGGGGGGAGCAAGCGUUGUUCGGAUUUACUGGGCGUAAAGGGCGCGUAGGCGGCGCAACAAGUCACUUGUGAAAUCUCCGGGCUUAACCCGGAGCGGCCAAGUGAUACUGUCGUGCUAGAGUGCGGAAGGGGCUACUGGAAUUCUCGGUGUAGCGGUGAAAUGCGUUGAUAUCGAUAGGAACUCCGGUGGCGAAGGCGGCAUACUGGACCACCACUGACGCUGAUGCGCGAAAGCCAGGGGAGCAAACGGG
rnacentral:rRNA from 1 species